GUCUAUAAACACAGCGUAUCGGACACUUCACUCAGUGACCACGGGGAGAGGAGAGAGAGAGCGAGAGAGGGAGAGAGAGAGAGGAAAGGGAGAGAGGAACACGCCAAAGAAAUUCGAUCCAUUAUCGAUCUAGCAAUGAGGCUUGCAGAAGGAUUCCCUCCCACCUCCCACCCCUCCCAAAAAAAAAACAACAACGCGGCCUGCACUCCACACAGCAUUGCCCCGCCGUUACAGGACAUCCACGCAGGACGUGUUGUUCAUUCAUGAUCAUACAGCGCUGUGAAGUAACUGGCAUGCUAUUAAUCAAAGGAGAAUGAAACUUUUCGUUCUGUUACUCGUUCAUCAUGAUGGUAGUUUUGAAAUACACCUGGCAUCGACAGAGAGAGACAUCCCUCACGCUGACAGCACUCCGUGUGUACAGAGCCGCCUCAAACAGCACGCAGAGGAGUGAACGGCAACAGCGCUUUACAAGAAUCACAACCGUCUCUGUUUCCACGCAGGGUGCACAGAGAAACUCAAGCUAACGCACGCAGCUGCCAUAGCUCGCAAUAUUACACUGCGCUGAACCCGGAUAGAUUACAAUCCUACCUCACUUCUAGGGCUCAACCGUGAAGCUUUAAACAGAAAUCACUGCGUUCAGUAACCUCCUGUGUAUCAUGAGGUAUUACACAUGUUUUAAUGGAUAUAAACGGAUAAAUGCAUGUAAAAAAUGAUUAAGUAAAUCGACACAUGUUUUUUUGUAAUUUUUUUUAUGUUCAUACAGAAAGUUUGUUCUUUACAUUGUACAAAAAAAAUGUCUUUAUUAAAACAGAAGCUGUGCAUUUUGUAUCUGAGUGUGUAAAAUGUAGAACUGCAUAACAGAGACUGCAUAAUCACACUCUGAAAUAAUAAGGGAUCGCAUUUAUACACCAUGUGAAAAAGAAACUCUAAACAAAAAGAACGAUGCUGAUUAUGACAUCACAAUGAUAACAACGAAAGCGUGCGAUCACCUUGUUACCACUGUGAUGUCAUAAUACAUCAGAACCAUAACAGGAUUCCACCGCUGCUGUUCCGGUCCAGAUGAAGGCAGGGCUGCACAGGAUCUCCCUGCUGAUGCAGUCUGGAAGAUGGCUUCUUAUCCCCUCCUCGACACAGGCCUACAUACAGACAGACAGUGCCGCCUUUCAU